rnacentral:rRNA from 1 species
UACGGGGGGAGCAAGCGUUGUUCGGAUUUACUGGGCGUAAAGGGCGCGUAGGCGGUCAGCACAAGUCAGUUGUGAAAUCUCCGGGCUUAACUCGGAAAGGUCAACUGAUACUGUGCGACUAGAGUGCAGAAGGGGCAACUGGAACUCUCGGUGUAGCGGUGAAAUGCGUAGAUAUCGAGAGGAACACCUGCGGCGAAGGCGGGUUGCUGGGGUGACACUGACGCUGAUGCGCGAAAGCCAGGGGAGCGAACGGG